ensembl:lncRNA
CUGGCGGCUGCAGCGCCGUGCAGUUUGCCGUGUUCUGCUGUCACAGCCUAUAGAAGGUAUCAGACAGGAAACUGCUGAAAUAAACCACUUGUAAUUCGGGGUCCUGAAAGAGAUUAACAGCCGCAAUUAGUUGCAAUCAGGGAGCAAUCGCAUGGAACAUCUGUGGGUUAAGCAAGAAGACAAGAAUAUGGUUUUUGAAGAAAGCUCCUUGCCUUACACAGACGAGUGAUAAUUCACAGGUGUCUACUCUCUGCCCCAAAGACAAUGCGUGGUGCAAAUGCACUGCUGUGUGCUUUCUGAGAGAGGAACGGGCUCUUCUAUGGCCUUGUCCAACAGCAUCCUCUCAGAGAACUGAAAAGCAGGCAAACUUACAACACAAUGUUGCCACAGACAUUUCUGUCAUGAACAGCUAUGUGAAAAAUAGCUACAGUCUCAAUUUUGUUUUUGCCACUCUGUCUUAACAGCACAUAUCCUCUCUGUAGUAGGCUCUACAGCGAGACUGAGCACACACGCCCUGCUCUCACACAGCCUGCUGUUCAAUAAGAGCCUAACCACAAGAGUUGUGACUAACAGAUGUGACCUUUUAUUGGUUUGCUGAUAAUGCACUCGAUGGUGGGAUGAACUCGCAAUGUAUCGCCUUCGCUUUGGCUGCGAGAUCCAACAGGUCUGCAGCAUCGUGUGCUUCCCAGAAACGAGUCCUGGGAAAAGCCCCACUGUGUACUCUAGGAGGAGGGCACUGAGGAGAGUCAGCAUUUCUGGAGAGCAUUACCAAUUCUGGCACUGAUUUUCAAAUAGCUGAGAGUUGCAGCUAAAACAGGCUAAGAAGUCACCAACCUACAUUUUGUUCUUGCCUUUUCCAUCUGCAAGGAUAGCAGGUAUUUACUGCAUCUCUCCAAUGUGUGGUGGGGAGGAGGGGCCAGCAAAAAAAUAAUAGACUUCAACUAAAGUGGAUGAUUUUGGCAACAAAGGAUUAGGCAAUAGCUACAUUUGAAGCUGCCUUGCAGAUUCUAGCAAGGAGUAUGGAGCCGACAAAUGGGGAUAAGCUGGGAGCAGCAACCUCCUAUCACAUCCAGACAUGUUUGGUAAUCCUCAGUGACAGAAAUUAUUUAAUAAAGCAAUUAAUCUUUCUCUUGGGACUGUAGUGCGAAAAUUUCAUGUAGCAGCGAUGCCAUGAAGCUUAAACAGCUCUUUCAAAGAGAAUAAAAAAUAUUUUUUCGUAAGUUGCCAUUUAAUGUUCAUUUUUAUGAUUUCAAGCUUGGGGAUGGAAGAGGAAGGGAAGAGCUCUAAGCUGUGUGGUUGAGGGUAUACUAUUCUAUUAAUUUUACAAGUCAAAGCUCUGGCACAAAUUAUAUUCAGGAAACAAAAUGUAGUUCCACAGGGAAACAUGCAGCUGUACUACUACAUCUGUCAAAAAACAAUUCAAGUCACAGCUAUUCACUGAGAAGAUGAAUUCUCAGAAGCUGUAAUGCUGAGAGAGACCUAAAAUAGCAGGAGAGCAGACAGUGAAUUAGACAGGCCCAUAAUUUGAGAUGAUGGGAGGGGAAAAAAAAACAGAAACAAGAAAACAAUGGGAUAGUAGAGUUCAUAAACAGAAACUGUAACAAAAGCCUCUGUUACUGGAAGUGUAGUGGAAACUCUUUGGAAUAGUGCAUUCAGUCCUGACUAUCUUCUCAUCAAAAAGACAUCAGUAAACACAAAUGAAUUAUUUUUUUUAAAAAGCAG